rnacentral:rRNA from 1 species
GAUGAACGCUGGCGGCGUGCCUAAUACAUGCAAGUCGAGCGAACAGACGAGGAGCUUGCUCCUCUGACGUUAGCGGCGGACGGGUGAGUAACACGUGGAUAACCUACCUAUAAGACUGGGAUAACUUCGGGAAACCGGAGCUAAUACCGGAUAAUAUAUUGAACCGCAUGGUUCAAUAGUGAAAGACGGUUUUGCUGUCACUUAUAGAUGGAUCCGCGCCGCAUUAGCUAGUUGGUAAGGUAACGGCUUACCAAGGCAACGAUGCGUAGCCGACCUGAGAGGGUGAUCGGCCACACUGGGACUGAGACACGGUCCAGACUCCUACGGGAGGCAGCAUUAGGGAAUCUGCCGCAAUGGGCGAAAGCCUGACGGAGCAACGCCGCGUGAGUGAUGAAGGUCUUCGGAUCGUAAAACUCUGUUAUUAGGGAAGAACAAAUGUGUAAGUAACUAUGCACGUCUUGACGGUACCUAAUCAGAAAGCCACGGCUAACUACGUG